rnacentral:rRNA from 1 species
CCUACGGGUGACAGCAGUGGGGAAUAUUGCACAAUGGGGGAAACCCUGAUGCAGCGACGCCGCGUGAGUGAAGAAGUAUUUCGGUAUGUAAAGUUCUAUCAGCAGGGAAGAAAAUGACGGUACCUGAGUAAGAAGCCCCGGCUAACUACGUGCCAGCAGCCGCGGUAAUACGUAGGGGGCAAGCGUUAUCCGGAUUUACUGGGUGUAAAGGGAGCGUAGACGGCAGUGCAAGUCGGGAGUGAAAGGCGCGGGCUCAACCAGGGGACUGCUCUUGAAACUGUACGGCUGGAGUGCAGGAGAGGUAAGUGGAAUUCCUAGUGUAGCGGUGAAAUGCGUAGAGAUUAGGAGGAACACCAGUGGCGAAGGCGGCUUACUGGACUGUAACUGACGUUGAGGCUCGAAAGCGUGGGGAGCAAACAGGAUUAGAUACCCGUGUAGUC